rnacentral:rRNA from 1 species
GACGAACGCUGGCGGCGUGCUUAACACAUGCAAGUCGAACGGAAAGGCCCUGCUUUUGUGGGGUGCUCGAGUGGCGAACGGGUGAGUAACACGUGAGUAACCUGCCCUUGACUUUGGGAUAACUUCAGGAAACUGGGGCUAAUACCGGAUAGGAGCUCCUGCUGCAUGGUGGGGGUUGGAAAGUUUCGGCGGUUGGGGAUGGACUCGCGGCUUAUCAGCUUGUUGGUGGGGUAGUGGCUUACCAAGGCUUUGACGGGUAGCCGGCCUGAGAGGGUGACCGGCCACAUUGGGACUGAGAUACGGCCCAGACUCCUACGGGAGGCAGCAGUGGGGAAUAUUGUACAAUGGGCGGAAGCCUGAUGCAGCAACGCCGCGUGCGGGAUGACAGCCUUCGGGUUGUAAACCGCUUUCGCCUGUGACGAAGCGUGAGUGGCGGUAAUGGGUAAAGAAGCACCGGCUAACUACGUG